GACGAACGCUGGCGGCGUGCUUAACACAUGCAAGUCGAACGAGAAUCUACUGAAGGAGGAUUCGUCCAACGGAAGUAGAGGAAAGUGGCGGACGGGUGAGUAACGCGUGAGGAACCUGCCUUGAAGAGGGGGACAACAGUUGGAAACGACUGCUAAUACCGCAUGAAGCAUAGGGGUCGCAUGAUCUUUAUGCCAAAGAUUUAUCGCUUCAAGAUGGCCUCGCGUCUGAUUAGCUGGUUGGCGGGGUAACGGCCCACCAAGGCGACGAUCAGUAGCCGGACUGAGAGGUUGAACGGCCACAUUGGGACUGAGAUACGGCCCAGACUCCUACGGGAGGCAGCAGUGGGGAAUAUUGGGCAAUGGGCGCAAGCCUGACCCAGCAACGCCGCGUGAAGGAAGAAGGCUUUCGGGUUGUAAACUUCUUUUAAGAGGGAAGAGCAGAAGACGGUACCUCUAGAAUAAGCCACGGCUAACUACGUGCCAGCAGCCGCGGU
rnacentral:rRNA from 1 species